rnacentral:rRNA from 1 species
AGUCGAACGGCAGCACAGUAAGAGCUUGCUCUUAUGGGUGGCGAGUGGCGAACGGGUGAGGAAUACAUCGGAAUCUACUCUUUCGUGGGGGAUAACGUAGGGAAACUUACGCUAAUACCGCAUACGACCUACGGGUGAAAGCGGAGGACCUUCGGGCUUCGCGCGGUUGAAUGAGCCGAUGUCGGAUUAGCUAGUUGGCGGGGUAAAGGCCCACCAAGGCGACGAUCCGUAGCUGGUCUGAGAGGAUGAUCAGCCACACUGGAACUGAGACACGGUCCAGACUCCUACGGGAGGCAGCAGCGGGGAAUAUUGGACAAUGGGCGCAAGCCUGAUCCAGCCAUGCCGCGUGGGUGAAGAAGGCCUUCGGGUUGUAAAGCCCUUUUGUUGGGAAAGAAAAGCAGUCGGUUAAUACCCGAUUGUUCUGACGGUACCCGAAGAAUGAGCACCGGCUAACUUCGUGCCAGCAGCCGCGGUAAUACGAAGGGUGCAAGCGUUACUCGGAAUUACUGGGCGUAAAGCGUGCGUAGGUGGUGGUUUAAGUCUGUUGUGAAAGCCCUGGGCUCAACCUGGGAAUUGCAGUGGAUACUGGGUCACUAGAGUGUGGUAGAGGGUAGCGGAAUUCCCGGUGUAGCAGUGAAAUGCGUAGAGAUCGGGAGGAACAUCCGUGGCGAAGGCGGCUA